AUCCAUCUGACGAGUCCCAAACAGGACGAAACACGCGUCCUGGAU
rfam:Schistosoma mansoni strain Puerto Rico chromosome 6, complete genome